rnacentral:rRNA from 1 species
GACGAACGCUGGCGGCGUGCUUAACACAUGCAAGUCGAACGGUAAGGCCCUUCGGGGUACACGAGUGGCGAACGGGUGAGUAACACGUGGGUGAUCUGCCCUGCACUUCGGGAUAAGCCUGGGAAACUGGGUCUAAUACCGGAUAGGACUCCGGACUGCAUGGUCUGGGGUGGAAAGCUUUUGCGGUGUGGGAUGGGCCCGCGGCCUAUCAGCUUGUUGGUGGGGUGAUGGCCUAUCAAGGCGACGACGGGUAGCCGGCCUGAGAGGGUGACCGGCCACACUGGGACUGAGAUACGGCCCAGACUCCUACGGGAGGCAGCAGUGGGGAAUAUUGCACAAUGGGCGCAAGCCUGAUGCAGCGACGCCGCGUGAGGGAUGACGGCCUUCGGGUUGUAAACCUCUUUCAGCAUCGACGAAGCGAAAGUGACGGUAGGUGCAGAAGAAGGACCGGCCAACUACGUGCCAGCAGCCGCGGUAA